GUAACAGAGUAAUUUAUUGCAAAAGAAAAAGAAUAUUCUGAAAGUUAGAUGCCGAAUAGACAGUACACCCUGAGAGAGAGAAUUCGGGGUGGGCUGCUUGUGAGGAUGAGACAGCAAAGACUGGGACUAGGUGUGAGAAACAAACUCGCCUGUCCAAACCCAAAGGAUGGACUCAAGAGACCCGGAGAACAGCGGAAGUGGGACUCUUAAUGAUGGUCUUGUAAGCUCGGGUGUCUGAUGAGUAGGCACACCCAGCACGGUUUCAACAAGCAAUUUAUCCCCUAGUGCACAGGUCUCUCCCCCGUUUCCUCAUAGGCUGAGUACUACGGGUCACAGUCUUCCCAGACAUCGCCUAUCAGUUGUUGGGUUGGGGCUGUAGGUGUUUUAUUUUGGGGGGUUGUCCUGCUGCAUUUUGUUGCAGCCCAAGCAUCUUCCAUGGAAGAGGCACUGAACCACCAGGCAGACAAGAUCACUCAACCCACUGAUGGGAGCCAGCCUUAGUGGCUACACCAACCCAACAAAGACAGGCACAUGGACGGAGCGGCCACAGCUGAGACAGAGGGCAGGCAUGAGGCCAACAGUGUGGACUGCAACCUCCCAAAACCAUCUGGCUCCUUCUCUUAUCUGAAUGUCCAACCUGCCAGCAACAGGAGACCAGCAUCCCACUGCCAGUGUGGCCCAGGUUCACAGGAGACCAACCAGCCACUUGACAGCAAGUGGACCCACUGGGCCUCUUUCAUUCUGGAAAGGCCAGUGGUUUGCACAAAAAUAGACAUCUCUUCUAGGUAGGAGUUUGUCUUUCCUGGCUCCAGGGCCUCAGUUGGCAUCACUGUCCAAGCGCUUAAGGAAUGUCCUGUUCAUCGGCGUAGAAGGGCUCACAACAUCACUUCUGAUCAGGGAAGCCACUUUGCAGUGAAGGAGAUGUGGGAAAGGGUCUGUGUCCCUAGGAUCUACUCAUUGCGUCUCAUUGUUCGGAAGCUGCUGGACUGGCUGGGUGUUGGAGUGGCCUCCCACACGGAGAGCUGAAGCAAUGCCCUGUAACUACAGGCCCCGUCAUCCCGGAUGGCAUGGGGACAUUGAGUCAGAGGCCUUCAUAUGGCACUGUGUUCUCAGCAGAAAGCACACAUAGGUCUGGGAGCUGAGGGGUGGGAGCAGGGCGGCCCACUCAGCAUCACUCCUGGUCACCCCUGUUUGUGUUUUCCAUCUCCCCAGUCUUGGCUCUGCAAGGUUAGCGGUUCUGGUUCCAAAGGAGGUGUUUGCUUGCCAGAGGACAGAACUACAAGCUGUAGCUUCCACCAGGGUACUGCAGGCUCCUUUUGGCCCAGCCAGCAAGCCGUAAGAGGAGCCACCCUCUUAGUGGGGGUGGCUGGCCCUGAGCAGCAGGGGGACAUGGGGGCUGCUGUCACCUGAGAGCAGGCGGCAGAGAGGAAUACAUGUGGGACUCAGACACCCGACGUGGGCAGGUGCUUCUUGGCACCCCCUCUUCCGAUUAUGACCGGAAAUGGAUCUGAAUAGCAACUCUGACCCCAAAAGGGCAUGGUUAGCAGGGACUCACAGGGGCUCACAGUCUUCAGGAACAUAGGGCUUGGGUCCAGCCACCAGAUGCACCUGAUGCCAACAGGAGACAGCUGAGCGCCAGGGCAAUUUAGAACAGAAAGUAGAGGCGGGGACAAGAGGGACCACUGUGUUCCCAGAUGAACGCAGUUGGCUAUGGGGCUGUCAUUUUUUCCAUUAAUUUCCCUCUUCUAAAUACACAGAGAGAGGGGCCCUGGAAGGGUGGUUUCCCACAUGUGUGGAAAAGGGGAUCCGGCCAGUGCAAGGGCGGAUAAUGGCAGACACAGGGUAGAAUCAGACCUCCUUAGACAGAGGAUGCUCUGCCCAGCAGCUGCGAGGCAUGUGGUCAGGGGCAGCCCCCAGCUGCCAGCUCCCCCAGGGUUUGCCUUCCCAGCUCAGCACAGCCAGGGACUGAGCAAGGCAGCAGGACCAAGGUCACUCUCUUAUGGGGCGCUCCCCCCAAGUGCUAAGCCCAGCCAUCUCAGGCCAGCACGGGGCUGUUCUGCUGGCCAGCCUUCACCCUGCACUCCUGGCUGGGCGGGGAGCCUUUCUCGGAUCUGAGUUGUGGAUUGCAGCAUCCCUGCCCGACCCUUCUCCCCAACGAAGCUUCGCACUGCCAACGCCGUCCGCGAAUUUCCACGGCACAUCAAAGAGGGCAAAAAAUGAGGGGAAGGAGGGCAAAGAACACAGAGACAGUGGGCGGCGGGUCCAGACCCACAUCUGUGUAACUGAAUUCACUUCAUUAGAUAUAAAUGGAGGCCGGGCAUGGUGGCUCACACCUGUCAUCCCAGCAUUUUGGGAGGCUGAGGCGGGCAGAUCACCUGAGGUCAGGAGUUCAAGACCAGCCUGGCCAACAUGGCAAAACCCCGUCUCUACUAAAAAUACAAAAUUAGCCAGGCGUGGUGGCAGGGGCACCUGUAAUCCCAGAUACUCAGGAGGCUAAGACAGGAGAAUUGCUUGAACCCAGGAGGCAGAGGUUGCAGUGAGCCCAUAUUGCACCACUGCACUCCAGCCUGGGUGAGAGUGAGACUCCAUCUCAAAAUAUAUAUAUAUAGACAAAAUGCUCCAAUUAAAAACAAAUAUUGUAACAUUGAGUAAAAUAUUAUAUUCGAUCGUAUGCUACUUAUAAGAGACACGCACAUAGAAAGUCACAGAAGGGCUGAAGGGGACUGAAAUCAUACGCCACGAAGAUGCUAAAUGAGCAGAGCUGAUGUGGCACUAUUAACUACUGACACCAAAGGAGGCUGCGAGGGAAGAAGAGUUACCAGAGUAAAAUACAGACAUUUCAUCAGCAUUAAGAGGGCCAGUCCACCUGGACCAUGUAACAGUUCUAAAUGUGUGUACACCUAAUAAACCUGGUCUUAGAACACAAAGCAAAAUCUUACAGAUGUAAAAGGAGUGGGAAAUUAGGAUGUAGACAUCUGGGUGAGGGCCAUUAUCCUGCCUACAACCUAUGGGUUAGUUUUCUCAGAUGUAAAUCAUACCACAGCCAGGCAUGGUGGCUCAUGCCUGUAGUCCCAGCUACUUGGGAGGCUGAGGUGGGAGGAUUGCUUGUGCCCAGGAGUCGGAGGCUGCAGUGAGUCGUGAUCAUGCCACUGCACUCCAGCCUGGGCAACAGAGCGAGACCCUGACCCUAAAAAUAAGUAAAUGAUAAAUAAAUAAAAUCAUACCACAGUAAAAUUGAUCUUCUCUUUUUCAAAGUGACCGAAAUCCUCUUGGAAAUGUAGAAACACUCCUUGAUAAUCUUUGCCAUGAAAUGAAAGCUACCAACUCUCUCGGAAGCAUUAAGAAGAAGCACACUUCUUCACAAAGUAGACAGCACACGGCAGAGUGGGGGCCAGAAGACGUGGCUCACCUCAAUGCCUGCCUUGUUCUAGAAUUUUUUUUUUUUUUUGAGUAACAGCUCUUCAUUUUAAGAAACUGGAAAAAGAACAACAAAAUAUACCAAAAGAAACUCAGAAAAAAGAUAAGAUACAAAGAUAAAAAGCUGCAAAUGUGGAAAGAAUAAAGUGAGACAUUAUAGAACAGCUUUGAAAGCUGCAUACAGGUAUUUAAGGCUGUAUGCACCCUGAUGCACAGCAGCGUUAUUCAUCGGGCAAAAAAAACCCAUCAAACCAUGAAACAAAAACACCCACCGCCUGGGGAGCACUGGAUGCCGCGGAGUUUUAUGCAGCUUUUAAAAAGAAUGAUUUGAACGUCUGGUUAAGGUGGCGCUGUGCAUUCACACUUCGGCCCUUCGUCUCCACAGACAAGAUAAACACAGCACAUUCGACAUGGCCCGGAGGAAUGAUCCAUGGCCUCGACAAAGAGAAAACUAAGAAGACAUUGCUGGGCUCAGAAGGAAAGUAAACAUCUCCCAGGACCAGAUGUGGAGUAGAUGGGAGUUGGAGAGAAGCUGAAGCCCAGGCCCAGCACCAGGCUGGGGGCCCAGGUGCUACGGAGGUCCCAGCCAUUAACAGAGCUUCGUGCAGGUGGGCAGCUGGAGCCAGGGGGGCUCACUCUCUUGUGAAACAGGCAGAAAAACAGGCCAAACUCUGCUGGGGGCUGCAGCCUUUAGGGAGCAGCUGGUCUCCCGAGGCAAAAGGACACACACGUUGUGGAGGCCAGGAACUGGACCAGCCUGUCGGGGGCUUGGUAACUCCAUCCAGAACAUCCUCAGGGUCUCCACAAGGCAGACACAGCACAGUACCACAGGAGAUGGCUGGGACAAAGAACCAGGAGCUGGAGGGGUGAGGCGGUAGGGGGGCAGCAAUCCUGAAACAAUGAGAACAGGGAAGAGAAAGAAAAGUCAUACCAGCUCGGAAGAGCUUGCAAACCGAUGUUCCAAAACACGCCCAGAAUUCUAAUGUUCACAAAGUUAUCCAGUCAAUAAUUAGAAUCCACUGCAGAUGAAAUUAAUUUUGUAGAAUAGUCUGAUAAAGACUAAAAUAAAUGUGCUUGGAAGGCUCAAGGAGAGAAAUGAAGAAACCUAGAACUGAAGAUACGGUUCCCCAAACAGGAAGGAAGGAAAGAAGGAAGGAAGGAAGGAAAGAAGGAAGGAAGGAAAGAAGGAAGGAAAGAAGGAAGGAAGGAAAGAAGGAAGGAAGGAAAGAAGGAAGGAAGGAAGGAAAGAAGGAAGGAAGGAAGGAAAGAAGGAAGGAAGGAAAGAAGGAAGGAAGUAAGGAAAGAAGGAAGGAAAGAAAGGAAGGAAAGGAAGGAAGGAAGGAAAGAAGGAAGGAAGGAAAGAAGGAAGGAAAGAAGGAAGGAAGGAAAGAAGGAAGGAAAGAAGGAA
rnacentral:lncRNA from 1 species